rnacentral:lncRNA from 1 species
AGGCCCCGUGUGAGAAGCCCCCUUCCCAGUGAACUCUCCCGUGUGUGUACGCGUGGACAGCCAACAGGGGGAGCAGUGCGAGCGUGAAGGCAGACAGUGGCCUGGCCCAGUCUGAUGGUGCAGAAGCUGAGCUGCAGAGGCGUUAAGUACCUGCCUCAUAAGUGGUAGAGACUCCAGUGUCACCCUGCCCUUCAAGUUCGGAGCCCCCGAGGGAGGGUCUGCCGGGCAGCUCAGCCCAGCACUCUGUAAGGAAAUCUUCAGUGCCACUGCCCAGGAUGUCUUCCCGGGGAUUGGGCCUGAAUGUCUUGACCGUGCUGUGCUGGAG